GACGAACGCUGGCGGCGUGCUUAACACAUGCAAGUCGAACGGAAAGGCCCUGCUUUUGUGGGGUGCUCGAGUGGCGAACGGGUGAGUAACACGUGAGUAACCUGCCCUUGACUUUGGGAUAACUUCAGGAAACUGGGGCUAAUACCGGAUAGGAGCUCCUGCUGCAUGGUGGGGGUUGGAAAGUUUCGGCGGUUGGGGAUGGACUCGCGGCUUAUCAGCUUGUUGGUGGGGUAGUGGCUUACCAAGGCUUUGACGGAUAGCCGGCCUGAGAGGGUGACCGGCCACAUUGGGACUGAGAUACGGCCCAGACUCCAACGGGAGGCAGCAGUGGGGAAUAUUGCACAAUGGGCGGAAGCCUGAUGCAGCAACGCCGCGUGCGGGAUGACGGCCUUCGGGUUGUAAACCGCUUUCGCCUGUGACGAAGCGUGAGUGACGGUAAUGGGUAAAGAAGCACCGGCUAACUACGUG
rnacentral:rRNA from 1 species